GAGUAGAGUGGCGGACGGGUGAGUAACGCGUAGGAAUCUGCCCUGUAGUGGGGGAUAACCCGGGGCGAAACCCGGGCUAAUACCGCAUACGCCCCACGGGGGAAAGCGGGGGAUCUUCGGACCUCGUGCUAUGGGAGGAGCCUGCGUCGGAUAGCUAGUUGGUAGGGUAAAGGCCUACCAAGGCGACGAUCCGUAGCUGGUCUGAGAGGAUGAUCAGCCACACCGGAACUGAGACACGGUCCGGACUCCUACGGGAGGCAGCAGUGGGGAAUAUUGCGCAAUGGGCGAAAGCCUGACGCAGCCAUGCCGCGUGUGUGAAGAAGGCCUUCGGGUUGUAAAGCACUUUCAGUGGGGAGGAAAGACUCAAGGCUAAUACCCUUGGGGGUUGACGUUACCCACAGAAGAAGCACCGGCUAAUUCCGUGCCAGCAGCCGCGGUAAUACGGAAGGUGCGAGCGUUAAUCGGAAUUACUGGGCGUAAAGCGCGCGUAGGCGGCUUGGUAAGUCGGAUGUGAAAGCCCCGGGCUCAACCU
rnacentral:rRNA from 1 species